rnacentral:rRNA from 1 species
UACGUAGGUGGCAAGCGUUAUCCGGAUUUAUUGGGCGUAAAGGGAACGCAGGCGGUCUUUUAAGUCUGAUGUGAAAGCCUUCGGCUUAACCGGAGUAGUGCAUUGGAAACUGGGAGACUUGAGUGCAGAAGAGGAGAGUGGAACUCCAUGUGUAGCGGUGAAAUGCGUAGAUAUAUGGAAGAACACCAGUGGCGAAAGCGGCUCUCUGGUCUGUAACUGACACUGAGGUUCGAAAGCGUGGGUAGCAAACAGG